UGUGCUAUUGAUCAACAGAAAACUUGAGGAGAGUUCUAUGCAAGCAACUUCCUUUUAAAAAGCAGAAAAUAUUGUACAUUCCUAGUGUGCUUGCUACAUGUAAACAAAAUUACAGGUUUGCAGAUAUCAAAGCUGAUAUCAAAAGAUGAUAAGACUGAUAAUUUGUAGUACAGUUCAAGAGAUCUGUCUUCCAGAUGUGUUUUAACUAGGGAUGUAUUACAGAGACCAUGGUGCUUGGAUUUCACAGUAUGUCUGUAUAAAGACUUUAUUUUCCUGAUGGACAUGCGUAAUUAAAAAACACUUUCAAUUAAGCAGACACGUUUUGUGUUUGAAGCGUCUCCCGAGCCAGCUUUUAAAAUGAAAGCAUUCUGUCCUCAGGAGAUUCUAAAGCAGCAGAGUCUACGGAUGUUUGAGCUGGUCCAGAAGCACCCGCCACACUGGCCUCCUUUCAUACCUCCAACAAAACCAGAAGUGACAACCACAGGAGCAGAACUCAUUGAAUCUACUGACAAGCUAUUUGAAUUGGAAGAAGAAUUUGAAAUCCUGAGUGUGUGAAGGAAACUGUGGUGACUCUUCUGAGUGUUGAAUAUAUUGGUAAUAUUAUUGCAUUGACUUAAACAGCCAUGUUAGCCCCGAAGUGCCUGAAAUUAUGGAUAACAGAGCACAGAAAUCUAGUAGCAUCCAAAACUCCAAGGGCAGUUUAACACACAAGCUUCCCCGGAUGGAAAGGCAGUAAGAGAUCUUGUGAUAAGAUGCUUAAAGGGAAUCUCUUUUUAACGUACCUUACCUGGAGACAAACGGGCCUUUGAGAUUAAGGCAAAAAUACAUGUAUCACUGGGCACCAUGUUUGGAGAAAGGGAUAACCCAAAUGGAUAUUUCUUGCUCUCAUAUAAUAAUGCAAUAGUUUAGUUCUUCAAGCAAAACCGUCUUCAGUUAAGGAGGAUGUUUACUUCUGUUCCCUCCUGUGGGCUGCGUCAUAGGAAAAAUACAUCGUCUUGUUUAAAAGAUCGACUGGAUCAGGAGAAAAUUGUUUCCUUGUUAAAUAUUUUAACAUGUAUUUGAGCAACCAGACUUUAUUACAAAAAUGUUUCUGUAAAAGGAGCUAUGUCUAAUGUAUACAUGUUGCAAUAGCCUUCCUGUUUCUGGGAGACCUCAAGAGGAACAGGAGACUCAAAUAGUUGAUACAGAUCACAACCACUGUUAUAGUUAUGGUAUAUUUCACCUUGACCUUAAAAUUCAAAUGAUUAAAACUUAGGUUAUUUCUUUCCGAGUUAAAACGAGUCAAAGGUGGUUUAACUGUACCUUAUUUAUUUUAGAAUAGAUUUACACAAGUUUCUCUGUUACAGCACUUUAUCUGUGCAUCUAAUAAAUUUCUUAAGCUUUUCUUAGGUUGUAUGCUGCUAUGUUUGGUUAAUUUGUGUGAACUAAAUAUAAACCAGGUUAUCUUAAAACUUAAUAUAGAAGUGUACACAGAUUACUGAAUUGUUGCUUUUUGACUUCUUGCCUUUUGAAAUCUGUUUUGGUAGAAGUGCCUUAACCCUACAGGUUUAUCAGAACAGCCUGGGCAGUUUUAUUUCUAAGGCAGAGAAUCUCUCUCUAGCAGCCAUAAGAAAAACAGUUCAGAAUAAAGAAAGGCAAAGAUUUUUAAUCCAUGCUGAAGUUCCUUUUCACUACCAGACAGUCCCCCUUGUGGUCAUUUUGUCAUGCUAGUGUAAUGAACAUGAACUGCAGACUUUCAUCUUCACCAAUAAAUGACAACAUAGAGAAA